CACGUAGUUAGCCGAUGCUUAUUCCUUAGCUACCGUCACUUUCUUCUUCACUAAGAAAAGAAGUUUACAAUCCGAAAACCGUCUUCCUUCACGCGGCGUUGCUGCAUCAGGGUUUCCCCCAUUGUGCAAUAUUCCCCACUGCUGCCUCCCGUAGGAGUCUGGGCCGUAUCUCAGUCCCAAUGUGGCCGUUCAACCUCUCAGUCCGGCUACUGAUCGUCGACUUGGUAGGCCGUUACCCCACCAACUAUCUAAUCAGACGCGAGCCCAUCUUUCAGCGGAUUGCUCCUUUGAUAUCAAACCGAUGCCGAUUCAAUAUAUCAUGCGGUAUUAGCGACCGUUUCCAGCCGUUAUCCCCCUCUGAAAGGCAGGUUGCUCACGUGUUACUCACCCGUCCGCCACUAAGUUAAAAGCUCGUCACUCCGAAGAGAUCUAAGCAAGUAACUUCGUUCGACUUGCAUGUGUUAGGCACGCCGCCAGCGUUCAUCCUGAGCCAGGAUCAAACUCU
rnacentral:rRNA from 1 species